rnacentral:pre_miRNA from 1 species
UGCUGGCCGGAGCUCUUUUCACAUUGUGCUACUGUCCGCCCGUCACGAGCAGUGCAAUGUUAAAAGGGCAUUGGCCGGGCA